AUGUUGUUAAAGUUCCCCAGGCGAUUUUAAUGUGCAGUCAGGGAUGAGAACCACUGAUUUAAGAAAUCAGCACCUGAAAAUCGAGCUUAAGUAGCAUAGCAACAUCCCUGUACCCUCCGGGGCAGUAUUUCUCAAAAAAGGAGGAUGUGGACCAUCUAAACUGCUGGAUAUUCUUACAAUGGUCCCGGGAAGAAGACAUGACAAUCUGACUGCAGCCAUGAUAUAAGCUGCUCCAUGUUGAGCAGUACUGAAUGUGUGGCUAGCACAAUCCCAAGAACUGGCCUCAAGGGAAUGGCAUUAACAUUACUACUCUAUAUCUUUGUAGGUAUCAUCAUAAUUGUAGCUUGCUCUGUCUGUAUGUGUAAGGGGGCAACGAAAACAGUCAGCAAAGAGAUGCUCUAGACCCAUGUUGACAUAGUCCACUCUGAGAAUACAGUGCCCUGUCUCAGGAUGAAGUCACAGAAGAUAGAACGUCACCCCUAAUCCCACAGAAAUGGACUGAUGUUCUGACAAGUGGGGAUUUGUCAGCAGCUCUAUGCAGGAAACCAGCCUCAGCAGGAAGCCCCUUUUCUUGUUUAAGAAAGGUAUAUUGUAACUAACUUUUAAAGCAAGCACGCCCAUGCUCUACUCCUCUCCAGCCCAAGCACAUCUUUCAAAUCUUUUGAUCACUCAAUACCUGGCCUAACUUGUUGGUUCUUUCCUUAGAUCAAAGAAACAGAAAUAAAGAAUAAGUAAUUAACAGAUGACCAGGUCUCUCCCUUAGCUUCCCCUUCAGUAAUCUCCUGAACAAACUGUGUGAUCAGACUGUGAAUAAGAUAAGAUCUAGAGGCCGAUCACAGGCCUGCUCACAGCAGGGGACAAGGACUCUGAACCUCUGUGUCAAUGAUUAUCUGACAUUAAAAGCUUUCAAGACUGAA